rnacentral:tRNA from 3 species
UGGGAAAUAGCUCAGUAGGUAGAGCGGCGGCCUUAUAAGCCGCGUGCCAGAGGUUCGAUUCCUCUUUUCCCAA